UUGCGGACAUGAAGUAACUCAGACUCGAAAGAGCGAGUUCGUUUGCAUGGAGCAACACAGUAAUGCACAAAACAUAAAACCUUCAACAUUAGCAAACCACCAACAUGUGACAGGUAUGUUAGAAGAACCGUUUCUCGAACGUUAUUCGGCUUAGUGGUAAACAUUUCUAAAAACUCGAAAAAGCUUUUAUUGCUCAUUAAUUGCUGCCGUGUGCUAUUUUUACUUAAAUGUUUAAACGGACAAUAUACACCACCACCACUAUCGAGGCUUUUAGUGAUGGUGAAUAUUUCAUACCCAUCUCCAAGUACUACCACGGAUACUGUCAUGGGUAAGUGUCUUGAAUUUUAAAAAUAACUUCCACUGUGUGUGCGUAUGCUUUUUUAAAUAAUGCUGGUGUACUAUUUUUGGUAAGUGUGAAAUAUUUCGAUCUCACUUCUCAAACUGUCGUCAUGUGCAUGCUGGCACGAUUGUUGGUGUGAAAAAAAGAAAUGGAAGCGCCAACGUACGUAUUCUAGUGGGCCCUCGCGUGAAUAAUGGUCAAACAAAAUAUAAAUAUAGCCGUGAGAAAGCAGCUUUGCUAGGCGGAUUGCAUACAUUGAGGAACUAUUAUGGGUCACAAUAAUCAUUCACAACAAAACGCCUGCAGCUAUGCUAAGUUAAGCGUUAUUUGUCAUAUUUAGCCAAACCCACCCUUCGUCACUCGUUUAGGUAUGGCUUUAAAAUACAAAACUCUUGUGUUGCAAAAACUAAUGCCACUUUAAAAUGUUUUUACAGGCGUACGAAUGAGAUGGAAUGUGUAAAAAAAAACAAACCCAUCAUAUCUUCCUGGCCUUGCAAAGAGACAAACCUGGGAACACCAUUUUCGGCAUUAGAAAUUCCGUCAACAUCACUCAAUGGAAGUUGUUGUUGUUGCCCUGAACACCACACUCAUUGAUAUGGAAAUCCAAUUCCAUAUGCUUCGAUGCGCGUUCGUUACGUACGAUUCUUUCAUUUUCUGUAUCCCCGUGUGCGUUUCCUCACCCGUACGUGUGUUGCUCAACACAUAAAAAGGACAUGCUCAAAAGCAAAUCCUCCAGACACCGGCCGAGACGUCAACAUGCUGGAGCGGGAACGGUGAUGGUGGUCUUCCAUUUAUGAUAUUAAAUUUUAUUGUAAAGCCUCACCGACGUUUGGACAAUGUUUUGCAUGACGGGUAUGCAACAUGUGUGGUGUAGGGUAGAAACCCCGUCUAAUCUAAUAUUACUUUUCUGUCCUCUUUGGAAUUGAUGCCCUUGGUCAGUGGAUUGCAAAAUGUUUGGGAAACUUUAGGAGCAUUGUUUAAUUGCUGAGGCUUCUGGAAUAGUUGAUCUUUUGAUCGUUAUUUCAGUUGUGAUAAUCAACACAAGCAGAAUCUUCCUUUAAAUUCUAAAUUAAAAUUCCCCAAGGUGUCAGUAAAUUAGUCAGUACUCAGCGCUAGUAGCCCAGAAUAUAUUGAGUAUUGACGCCAUACUUAUUAUAUUGUCACAAUUCAUGAUUAAAAUGACUGUAAACAUGUAUUUUGUUAAAAUCUAAACAUAACCCACCAUUUCUUCGAAAACUGCCCACUGUGCUCAACACCGAACCUAAGCCGCACGUUCGCUCAUUUGUCCACCUCGCUCGGGGCUGUAAAAUGGUCCAAUUGCAUUUGCGACACAACGUUUCGCAAAUCGAAACCGAACUUCCGCUUGCCGCGUCUACGGUGCGGGCUUUUCACAUUUACGCCGACGUUAUGAAAUGCGCCUGGAUUACUGCACGUCCAGCAGUAUACCAGCAUCCCGUAACCCGGGGAAACUCAGGAAGGUUGAGUGGAAUUUGAGAAAUGUCAACAAACGGCACGAGUUCCCUUUUUUGUUGAGCCUGCUUUGUUGGUCUGAUUUCCUUAGUUUAAGAACUACCUUCUGAGAAAAUACGAAGGAGGAUAUCAUCCCCAAGAAAACCAAGAAUCGGUAGGAUGGUUGUAGGAUUUUGUUGUUAAUUUUUUUUUCACUCUCUCUCCAUUCCUAUUUCUUUUCGUUACCUUCGUCUUAUAUGGACGUUUCCUUAGCAUUUGGUAGUAUUAGUUCCUCCAGCUUUCUGGUGGAAGGUGACCCUGCUAGUGGAUGAAAGGUCCACACACCCGACCAGCGUGAAACCGCCUCGGAUUGGUCAUGCAUGUGAUGUAUUUGAUAGGUACGUGUGCUGAUUUGCUAAAACCCCGAAAAAAUUCUCAGCCCCAGCUUGGAAUGACCAACAACAUCCGAUUUCCGGCUUUUUUGGGGGAGAAUAAGCGAUUGUGACCGGGGGGAGGGAGCAAUGGAAAGUGGAAGUGGAGAGGAUGUGAUGACAAACAUAUUUUCACUUCGUUAUUUUCCCUUCGGGGUGGCAGAUUUGUUUUACUAUUUUAUUUGCCCGUGCGAGGUGUGAUGUGCUCCAAACGGUUAGAUUGGAGUAAAGCGCAACUAAAACAGCAACAAUUCGAAUAGGAAAAAACAACACACACACAACCACUUGUACGUGAAACCGUUUAACGUCGAUGUAGAAUGUUGAUGCAAAAAGGAAAGGGAGGACGAAGCAAGGGAUGUGGCGGGAAAUGGGAAAUGGGAAAGUGGAAAAUGGAAAACUAUCUACCAACCGUGUUCCAUCGGCCACAAAAUGGUGCGGUUGUGCGGUUGUGUGGAAAUAUAAACUGUUUUAUUUACCGAAAACAUCGCUUUUUUGGGGGGGGGGGGAAGCAGCAACAAAACAAAACAAAAGUUGCACAAAAGAAGAAAAAUCCCUCCAAGUAAGGAACGUCCUGACAGUGCACAUAUUGACUGUGCUUCGUGCCAGCAGAAUAUCUUCCAAUCUUCAAUAUUGUCCAGUUCGGUUGUAGACAUGGGGAAUUCUGACAGCAAGUUCGAUGUUUUCCAUUGCUUCUUUUUCGACUUUCCUUUACCGGGGGAACGAUUUUUGGUUGGCGUUGUUGUGGUGCUAACAGCUUUUUUUUUGUUUGGUUGAUGCUUUGGGAGCGUUAUUCGAAAAUGGAGAUUCUACCAUUUGCCAUUUGGGAGUUAGAAGCCUCGACAGCAUGUAAGCGCGCUAAAAAAAGCGGAUUGCAUAUCUUGCAGGAAAAGACAUCGAAAUGAUAAACAGACAACAAUACUCUGCAUAUGAAUGUGUGGUUUAGCAGGGUUUUGACUGUUAUCAGGUUCCGGGUGAGGAACAACAACAGCAAAAAAAAAACAAAACGAGAGUAAAACAUCGACUAAGCUACUUUCGGAAGUGAACCUACCCACCCAGCAGAAGUGGCUUUCCUGUGGCAGCCUUGGAAUCUUCCACUUCGUUAACUAUAAUCCUUUCGCGUGUUCUAGAGGGCAGGGGCGGUGGAGUUAUCUCCUGGAGCAAGCAGUGAAAGAAGAAACGCAGCGUAAAAUCCACGGAAUUUCCGACGAUAUGGUAUAUAACUCCCGAGGUAGAAGCUAGUCCUUCCAACCAACCCUCUAUGCUUUGGAAUGUGGUCGUAAUGUGUGUAUGUGUACCCACGCGCGCGCGUGUGUGUUGGGAGUUUUCACCAGUUCCGGGCAUUGGGCAGGUUUUGAAAACCCUUUUUUUUUGACCUCGGAAAAUGGCGGAAAAAGCGAAUGGACAGGACUGGAGAUGGCGAAUGUCAACUCUUCAAGUUGCAUGUUUUAUUCAAUCUUGCCUAUCAGGAAUUUCUGGAUUACUCAUCCGGCUGACGUGACACUAAAGCACGAGACCGAAUGUUUUAGGUGUAGUAAGAGCCGUGAGCACACACACACACAAAACACGGCGAUGGCGAGAGCAUUGAGAGCAUCCUAACAGGACACAUUUUCUGCAAAUGUUUCAGCAACGAGCUGUGGUAGGUAGGGAAGCAUUCCACGCACUCUAAGCACCCCCUUUGGGUCUGUGAAACGAAAUGCCACUCUUACAACCUGCCGGUACCAUCCGAAACGGUGUUCGGUGCGUACCAUAGCAGCUGCUAGGAUUGCUGUGCCCAAAAUUCCAUCCUUUGCUGGGGGAAAGAGUGAGGCCAACAAAAAAAAAAUACGAUAAAACAUUAGAAAACACCGGGCACGUGUUCGUGCAAUUCAUUGCAUACAUAUAGGCGUUUCAAAUUGUGCUUGGGUCAAAACGCCGUCCGAGCUGCAAUGACCGUUACUGGUUUAAUUACGUUUGAAUAUAAAUUGAUUACAUUAAUGAAAAAAAAAUCUUAAAAUAGCCAUAUUUUUAGUAAAUAUUGUUAAAGUAAUAACUUUGAACAAUAUUAUGCAUUAAACAAUAUUUUAUAUAUUUAUGGAAAAUUUUUUUUUUUAUUUCUACUUAAAUAUAAAUAGUUUGUUAAAACAUUAUCUUCAUUGUUAAAACAAUUUACAGUGCUUGCCCAACAACAUAAUCAAAUAUGAAAUUAAAACAUCGACCGAUCGUGAAGUUUUCGACCACGUUUUCGACCAGUCUUCGACCACGUUUUAGAUCAGUUUUUAGCAAAUACUUAGCACUUAAGUUCUUUUGAAGUACGUAUGUAUGUGUGACCGCGUACUUCAUGUCACCAAAUUGAGUGGUCGCAAACGUUAAUCUUGGUUUCUAAUUGAAACAAAACAUGGCGUAAUUAUACGAAUACGGGUGUUUUAUGGUUGUGCCCGAAGUAAGUGGCAGGCCUGCGCUGUUUCUUGCGAGAUAUGGUAUGAAAAAUAAAAAUAAACAUCAUUUUUUUUAAUGCGAAGCAGCUUGCUGAGAAACUUCUGACAUUCCUUUCGCGUAUAAGAAAAAAAAGGAAACACACACACAUUUCGGAGGCAUAAAAAAUAAUGUCUUAAGAAUGAAGAAGAGAGAGUUUAAAGAAGAAAAAAAAACCUCUACCAAGGAUAAAUUGAAAAUGGUCUAAAAGAAACCGAAGCAAGCUUCCCGAAUGCUUAUCCCUGGUCGUUUCCUGGUUUCGCUGGUGAGUGUAAAUCUUGCAACACAAAAAAAAACGCUCAGCUUCAAAAAGGCACCGACAAACGGCUCAAGAGAUGUUUGGAAUGUCCCUUUCGGGCUUGGGUGGAAAGAGAGUAUAAACAAAAAAGCACAAAAAAGAAGAUGUUCGCGCUUUCAAGUUUUGUGCCGCAUCUUCGAACGAGCAAGAAAAAAAAAAAUCCUCCGGAAAAGAUAUCCAUUCGUCCAUUUCCCAUUCAACAAGUUUUCAUCUUCACUGGCUUUGAAGCACUCGAGCUACAAACUCGCACACAAGAAAAGCAGCAAAAAAAAAAAUCUCUCCCAUCCCUCACACACAAACAUUUUCUCCUUCGCGAAAAGAAAAUCGAGCCACUUUUCGGACCCGGUUGCUUGAAGAUGGAUUUACGGCCGUCAAACCGAAUAAUGUGCUCGGGCCCUUAAAAGGAAGCAAAACCGUGGCCCUAGUGCUGGUGGUAGUCGUAGUAUCGGUCUGUGAUGAAACCCAUAAAAAAGCGUCCAUUUCUUCUCACAAAUGAAUGAACGAAUGGUUAUCACUAGGAAGAGGACAACACAAAAAAAAUUCUUCAUCAUAAAAAAGAGCUGCUUCCAUGCCGUGAAGGAGGGCGCUAGCUUUACAUUGGUCAACGAAAACAUGCAAAAAAAAAAGAGUAAAAGUGUGAAGAUGCUGAAGCAAAAGCCCGAUGGAUAUAAACACAACUCAAAUAACUAAUAAAGAAGGCCGGCAAGUUUGUUUUCUUGCCAUCGGUCCCCUUACGGUGCUCUCCUCUGCUUCGGAUUUAUUCGUCAUUCGUCCACGCGGGACGUAUAAAAUCCAAAGAUAUUGCAUUUUCACAGCAUGUCCACGACGUGUCACAUCGGCGUAGAAGCGCCAUUGGAAAGUCGGGCUGCUCGUAUCUGAAAUGUCUACAUCAUAAUAAAGAGUAAAGAAACCUUUCUGGGCCGAGCUGACGCUAGAGUGAAGAAGGAAGUGUAGUGACAGAUUUAUGCCUUUGUACAAGGAGAAGCAACUUUCGGCCGAGAGUAGUUACAAAUUGGUAUAAGGAUGUGUACAGUUGAUGCAAUAAUGUAGUUGUAUAUAUUUUGUUUAAUAGUUUAAAAUGUUUGUAAAACAUUUAAAAUACAUUCUAUUGUUUUAAGAAUAUAAAUCUUCUGCCAAAAGUCAACACAACAUGAUGGUGAUUAAUAUGCUGCCAUUUGUACGAUGUAAUGUAAGGAUUUCGGUGGACUCCCUUAUCUUUCGCCUUGGCUUACACCGGUCGGGAAAAAUGUAAACUAGUGCGGUGAAAAAUUCUCCCAACUCACAACAUCCCAACUAAUCCCCCCGGGUAUCAAUCUUCACCGUCUGGUUUAACGGUUUUUUUGGGGGCUGAUUAUUUCAUUUCCCACCCGUAAUCGUACCCGGCACAGGAAUGAGCUCCGAGCGUUGUACAUGGCGACCCGAAAACGAACCAAGCCGAUGGAAUUCUUCGACACCGAAAAUAUGUUUUCACUUCCCCGUUUACGUGCCCGUCGGAAGGUGGCCGGUACAGGCGCACACCGGUAUGAUGCUCAUUCCGAUUUCCGAAAAAGAUGGGCGAGAUUUAGCGCCACAUUGGAUGGUGGUUUUAAUGGCGAACGGUGUAAUGCUAUGUUGGAAUACGGUGAAAAUUUUCACUCACCGUGGUUACAAAUUCCACCUAGUUUGUUACCGGAAGGUAUAAAAGUGGCUAUCAAUAAGGUGGAUGAAAUAGCUCAUCCU